GUCAGAAGAAGAUAAGAAGCAGAAACCAAGGGGCUUUCUUCAACUUGCUGGAGCUGUGAUAUCGCCGAGUGAUGAGGAUUCCCACACAUUUACAGUAAAUACGGUCGGAGGCGACGCAUUCAGACUGAGAGCUUAUGAUGCGAAAGAGAGACAGCACUGGGUGUCGCGAUUACGAGCUGUUACUGAGAUCCACACAGAUAAUCUUGCUGCU